AUUUAAAUAGUUUAAUAAAAAUAUUGAUUUGUGGAGUCAAAGAUAAGAAAGAAUCUUUUUAAGUU
rnacentral:tRNA from 2 species